rnacentral:sRNA from 1 species
CUCCUAGAUGCUGGCACCGAAGCCGGGGGGACAGCCGGUGUGGAGGACGGAGAGCGCCACUGCCUGAGGGCUGGCCGGCUAGGUAGCGGGAAACCAGCUUCUCUGACCGAAGCUCUGGACUCUGCUGAUCCGGAGCGCUGAAGUGUGUCCGGUGCCACCCUGAUGCUCUCCUGGGAGUUGUGUUGCUCCUGGCUGAGAAAUAGACUUACUUCUUUCUUAGAUAGCGCUCCUGCGAGUGAUUUUCAGGACGCUGGAUGCUAAGACUAGACGAAGGAAGCCAAAGCCCCCGCGAGUCAGGCAGGCCGGUGUCACGGCCCUAUGAUUAUGGCAAGGGGGACCCUCUGCCUGGCUGCUGUUUCCUGAGACCCGUUCGGAACCUCACGUGUACCUCGAAGUUCACCGUUUUCCUCCCAAAGAACCUGGCUAAAUGUUCAUAAUGGCUGAGUUUUAUUUUGGGACAUAAUUUCUUUGGUUCUUCACCACCACUUUUUGGAGAGUGGUAAUGUCUUCCUCUUUUUGCUUUAGGAGAAAGACAGAAUAAUAAGCUGAAUAGAUCUGACCAUUGGCUUUCAGCUGGCCAGGACCUUCUAUGUAGCUCUCCUUUUGUGGCCCAUGUGCUGCAUCCUCUGCCCUCAGUGUGCAACUGGCCCCCAACGCAAUGUGUGUUUGUCAAACCAUGGAAGUGGG